GACGAACGCUGGCGGCGUGCUUAACACAUGCAAGUCGAACGGACAGGCCCUGCUUGCAGGGUGCUCGCGUGGCGAACGGGUGAGUAACACGUGGGUGAUCUGCCCCUUACUUUGGGAUAAGCCUGGGAAACUGGGUCUAAUACUGGAUAGGACCAUGCUGUAGGCGGUGUGGUGGAAAGAUUUUUUCGGUAGGGGAUGAGCUCGCGGCCUAUCGACUUGUUGGUGGGGUAAUGGCCUACCAAGGCGUCGACGGGUAGCCGGCCUGAGAGGGUGAACGGCCAAGUGGGAACGCGAUUACGGCCAGAAGCCUACGGGAAGCAUCCGGUGGGGACAAUGGCCUAAGGGAGCAACGCCGAGUGAGGGACGCCGGUGUGGGGAUGACGGCCUUCGGGUUGUAAACGCCUUUCAGCGAUGACGAAGCCUCGUUUGGGGUGACGGUAGUGGUAGAAGAAGCACCGGCUAACUACGUG
rnacentral:rRNA from 1 species